GUUGAAACACCGGUUCCCGUACGAAUCACAGAAGUUAAGCAACGUAGAGCCUACUCAGUAGUUUGAUGGGUGUUCGCCUUGGAAGAAAAGAUGCCGCAAG